rnacentral:rRNA from 1 species
UGGAGCACAUUGAGGGGACCGCUGUCGCUAAGGCAGAGGAAGGAGAGGUCAACGGUAGGUCAGUAUGCCCCGAAUCUCCUGGGCUACACGCGCGCUACAAAGGACAGGACAAAGGGUUUUCAACACCGAGAGGUGAAGGUAAUCUCGAAACCUGUUCGUAGUUCGGACUGAGGAUUGUAACUCAUCCUCACGAAGCUGGAUCCCGUAGUAAUCGCAGGUCAACAUCCUGCGGU